UGGGGAAUAUUGCACAAUGGGCGCAAGCCUGAUGCAGCCAUGCCGCGUGUGUGAAGAAGGCCUUCGGUUGUAAAGCACUUUCAGCGAGGAGGAAGGUGGUGAACUUAAUACGUUCAUCAAUUGACGUUACUCGCAGAAGAAGCACCGGCUAACUCCGUGCCAGCAGCCGCGGUAAUACGGAGGGUGCAAGCGUUAAUCGGAAUUACUGGGCGUAAAGCGCACGCAGGCGGUUUGUUAAGUCAGAUGUGAAAUCCCCGGGCUCAACCUGGGAACUGCAUUUGAAACUGGCAAGCUAGAGUCUCGUAGAGGGGGGUAGAAUUCCACGGUGUAGCAGUGAAAUGCGUAGAGAAUGUGGAGGAAUACCGAUGGCGAAGGCAGCCCCCUGGGC
rnacentral:rRNA from 1 species